rnacentral:rRNA from 1 species
AUACCCCGGUAGUCCAGGGUGUAAACGCUGCGGGCUUGGUGUUGGGGGUCCUUUGUGGGCGCCCAGUGCCGGAGAGAAGUUGUUAAGCCUGCUGCUUGGGGAGUACGUCCGCAAGGAUGAAACUUAAAGGAAUUGGCGGGGGAGCACCGCAACGGGAGGAGCGUGCGGUUCAAUUGGAUUCAACGCCGGACAACUCACCAGGAGCGACGGUUACAUGAAGGCCAGGUUGAUGACCUUGCUUGAUUUUCCGAGAGGUGGUGCAUGGCCGUCGUCAGUUCGUACCGUAAGGCGUUCUCUUAAGUGAGAUAACGAACGAGACCCUCACCAUUAAUUGCGAGCUUUCUCUCCGGAGGGAGUGCACAUUAGUGGGACCGCUGGCGCUAAGUCAGUGGAAGGAGAGGUCAACGGUAGGUCCGUAUGCCCCGAAUCUCCUGGGCUACACGCGCGCUACAAAGGUUGGGACAAUGGGCUGCGACAUCGAAAGGUGAAGCCAAUCCCGAAACCCAAUCGUAGUUCGGAUUGAGGGUUGUAACUCACCCUCAUGAAGCUGGAUUCCGUAGUAAUCGC